GCCCAGGGAACGCAGGCUUGAAGUGGAGGCUGAGAAGGCAAUCCGAGCACGGCCAUAGGCCGGUCAAAGGCAUGGAGGCGGUGUGUAGCACGGGGUCUUGCUGUGUCACCCAGGCUUACAUGCGACCUCGAACUCCAGGACUUUGAACAGCUGGGACCACAAGCAUGCACCGCCUCACCAGGCUAAUUUUUAGUUUUUUGGUUUUUGUUUUUUUUUUUUUUUUGGUAAAGAUGUGGUCUUGCUAAGUUACUCAGGCUAGUUUGGCCUCAAGCGAUCCUCUCACUUUGGCCUCCCAAAGUGCUAGGAUUAUAGGCUGAGCGACAACGCCUGGCUGCAACGUUUAUAAAAAGGAGCAAUGCACAAGAGGCAACAAAGGCAAGUAAAGGGGAAGCUGGUGGGCUUGCAGAAGUGCCCACUGGGACAGACUCCCUGGAGGUGGGUCAGAAAGCUGCAGUUUUACCAGGGGUCCUGCUGUUGAGGCAGCUGGCUCAAGGACCAAGCCCAAAGAAGACACUGGGAGGAAGGCUGCAGGCCAGGGUGCAGGAGUAACGACCAGGAUCAGUGCUCCAACUGGCCCCACUAAAAGGCCCUGGAAUGGAAUCCAUCCUGGUCCAGGCAGGGGAGUGUGCCUCCAGCAAAGGACCAGGCGUUUCACUGCAUACACAGCAGGUGUUACUUAGUGAAGACAAAAACCCAGAGCCAGAGGUACUGCAACAUUCUUGAUUAUGUAUAAAGUGACAAUUUGUUAGCUGAUGUGAUCCUGCAAAUGAAAGCUGCUACCCACCAAGGAGGGUUUCUCCCUCUGCUAGUAAAACUGAGACUUUGUCAGUGGAGGGUCAGGUAAGUCCCCACAGUGCUCACGCCUUCCAAAACCACGCCUAGUUCCAGUGAUGAUGGUUUGUGCCACAGGCCAAGUACUGAACAUCAUGACACUCAUAGACACUCUUCACUGAAGACAUGUGGAUAGACCCUGGGGCCACCAUCCUCUCCUCUCUGGAGUGUUGGAGGGGCCCUGACCAGGGCAGGAUCCCCAUGCCUAGAAGCAGGGUCAGCCCUGGCUCAUGGGGGACCCCGCUGGGCUUAGCCAUUGCCACCUAGGAAUCAGGCAGCCUUGUUUCUUCCUACUUUCUCCAGGAGAAGCCCCAGAUGGGAAGUUUUCUAAUGGUGAGAUGGAACACGGGGCAUCUGCCAACAGGACUUCCUUCAGUUCUGGUCAGAGGCCCAACCACCAGUCUGUGUUAGUACCUAAUCAAACAUUUAGAUUUAGGCUUUAGUUAUUGCCUGUUUUUACUUGAAAUUCUUGGCUUAGAAUUAUUCCCAAUGGGGCCAGGCACAGUGGCUCAUGGGAACAAAUUUAAAAUAAUCAGAUUAGCAUGUCAAAAGAUCUCACGUUAUAGAAAGUGAAGACCUAAGACCAAAUAAAUAUUGAUAAAAAAUAAAGACAGGCCAGCAGAAGCUUGGAUGAUUUAAUAAAUUAAAAUUAGGAGUGGGGGAGUAGGGAAGAAAGAGAGGAACAUCUCUUUAGCAUUUGUUCAUUCCAACAUUCACGUUUGCUUCUCCGUGGAGUUGUUUCACUAUGAACAGGUUCACUAAGGAGCCAGUUAUGUCCAUAUGAAAUGAGAAUAAAAGUGUAAACUCAUUCAGAUCAGGUUUUUCUGAGUGAUGUUUUUGAAAAAAAUAUGGAAAAUAAAAAUAGAAACAUUCUUUGUCAAAUACUUAAAUUGCAGCCACAGUAGUGGGACAGCCACUAUUUAUAGAACACACGUCUAUUUAAACCCUUUUUUUAGGCCAAAGACUGACACCUAUGCAACUGACCUAGGAAAAGAAAGGAUAAAUGAAAAAGAAAGAACACUUCAUGUUAGACAAUUUAGUCACCUCCAUUGGUUUUGACAGAAUUAGGGAUACAGAAUUGCUCCUGCUGAGGCAGUGGGAGCCCCCCUCAAGCUGAAAGCAUGAAGAGGUGAGGCGGCAGCUGCCUACAGGCCCUCAGGGACAGCUCUUUGUCUUUCCCCAAAUCAAGCGUACAACUACAAAGUCCUGCUGCUCCACUUCAAGUAAAACUUGAUAAUUCUUAGGUAACUCUAAGCAAAUCUUAAGUAACAGAGUAUUCUGAUGAGGCUCAUCCCUGUCAGUGCCAGUAACUAAAAGCCAAGAUGUUGCAAUUUAUUCUUUUAUUAUUUUCCAGUCAGCCAACAGUCCUCACUUAGGGCUUUCUUCCCUUCUUACGCAAUGACUGUCCUUCCCCAGAGAAAGCGACGAAUCUGCCUCCAGCUUCAUCCUAGGUGUGAAGAGAAGAUACUAUUUUCAGAAACUCCCUGGAGAUUUACAAUAAAUGCCUUACUCUAUAGA